GUCUACGGCCAUGCCACCCUGAACAAGCCCGAUCUCACCUGAUCUCAGAAACUAAGCAGGGUUAGGCCUGGUUAGUACUUGGAUGGGAGACCACCUAGGAAGACCAGGUGCUGUAGGCG
rfam:Pteropus alecto contig29741, whole genome shotgun sequence.